AUUGAACGCUGGCGGCAUGCCUUACACAUGCAAGUCGAACGGUAACAGGUCUUCGGAUGCUGACGAGUGGCGAACGGGUGAGUAAUACAUCGGAACGUGCCUAGUAGUGGGGGAUAACUACUCGAAAGAGUGGCUAAUACCGCAUGAGAUCUACGGAUGAAAGCAGGGGAUCGCAAGACCUUGUGCUACUAAAGCGGCCGAUGGCAGAUUAGGUAGUUGGUGGGAUAAAAGCUUACCAAGCCGACGAUCUGUAGCUGGUCUGAGAGGACGAUCAGCCGCACUGGGACUGAGAAACGGCCCAGACUCCUACGGGAGGCAGCAGUGGGGAAUUUUGGACAAUGGGCGCAAGCCUGAUCCAGCAAUGCCGCGUGCAGGAUGAAGGCCUUCGGGUUGUAAACUGCUUUUGUACGGAACGAAAAGCCCCGGGUUAAUACCCUGGGGUCAUGACGGUACCGUAAGAAUAAGCACCGGCUAACUACGUGCCAGCCGCCGCCGUAA
rnacentral:rRNA from 1 species